rnacentral:lncRNA from 1 species
AAUAAAAGCCAAAUGCACUUACAGAGCAGUGACUGGAAAGGAGAAGGGACAGGGGAGCCACUGGAGUUGGGAGAGUCUUAUUAAGUGUGAACCAAGAAGUGUGCUUGAGAACAUUGCUAGGCCUGCUGUGAGCCACAGGUUUGGCCAGGAGUCUGCAGCGGCAUCUUUAAAACAAGGAACAGUAACCUGGAAUCAUCCUUAUCCAUUGCAAAAACAGGUA